rnacentral:rRNA from 1 species
UUAGAGUUUGAUCCUGGCUCAGCGCGAACGCUGGCGGCGUGCCUAACACAUGCAAGUCGUGCGGAGGGGUGAUGAGCCCCUCAGCGGCAAACGGGUGAGUAACACGUGAGUAACCUACCCUUGGGAAGGGGAUAACCCUCCGAAAGGAGGGCUAAUACCCUAUACUGCCGAGGACCACUAAGGUUUCUCGGUGAAAGGUGGCCUCUGCCCUUCACGGGCAUGCUACCGCCCAAGGAGGGGCUCGCGGCCCAUCAGGUAGUUGGUGGGGUAACGGCCUACCAAGCCUAUGACGGGUAGCCGGCCUGAGAGGGUGGUCGGCCACAGUGGGACUGAGACACGGCCCACACCCCUACGGGGGGCAGCAGUGGGGAAUCGUGGGCAAUGGGCGAAAGCCUGACCCCGCGACGCCGCGUGGAGGAAGAAGCCCUUCGGGGUGUAAACUCCUGUCGGGGGGGACGAUGUGUCCUGGGGUGAAUAAUCCCAGGGCAUGACGGUACCCCCAGAGGAAGGGACGGCUAACUACGUGCCAGCAGCCGCGGUAAUACGUAGGUCCCGAGCGUUGCGCGAAUUCACUGGGCGUAAAGCGUCCGCAGCCGGACGGGUAAGCGGUGCGUCAAAGCCCACCGCUCAACGGUGGAACGGCGUACCGAACUGCCUGUCU